rnacentral:lncRNA from 1 species
UCACUUCCUUGGCAACAUCUCCAAACAGAACUUGGAACCCUAGUUAAUGGGUGUCACAAUCUUGUAACAGCCAUCUCCCAAGCUCACUUGGCCAGAGAUGGUCAACAGCGAACAUGCUGAGCUGCUUCUCCACUUCAAGAGGCUGCAGCCUCAGGACCCCAGGUAGAGAAAGUAUCUGUGAAAGAUUAAGAAGAUGGCUGACAACAUCCAGAUGCCACAGGCCACACUGCAGCUGUCGCACAAUUGUCACAGACACCCCAGGGAUGGUCUCACCAGGAGUGACCGCCAGUGACCUACCAAAAUCAAGAAGUGAGCAGCAUUGUGGAAAAGCCACUAAACGCCAGUGGGCAAGACUGUGAAGAAGCUGCUUCCAGAGCCUUCCACCCACGCUAGCUCCCUUUCUUUCUCCCUUUCUCCCUUUCCUCCAGCUCUACGCCCCCUCCAUGGCAGCCCUCAGUCAGUACCAAGGGGGACAGCAACGGGGAGGUACAUGGGAAUUAAGCAUCGUACAUAUUUUCUAAUGAACUUAAUCUAUUUAUACUUCCUGGAGUAACCAUGUAUUAAAAUACUAGUACUUUUUGUGGUAUUGAACGGUAGCCCCCAAAGAUAUAUCCGUAUCUUAAUCCCUGCAAUGUGAUGUUGUGAACUUAUUUAGAAAAAGGAUCUUUGCACAUUUACUUGCAUUAAGGACUUCCCAGGUGGCCCCUACAUCCAACUCUAGCGAGCUUCUAAGAGUCCGAAGAGGAGAAAACGUGACCCCAGAAGCAGAGGCUGGAGUUGUACAGGUGCAAGCUUGGACCACCAGAAGCUGGAGAGACAAGAGAGGGUGAGAGCCUUGGAGGAAGUGAGGGCCCAUUACCACUUUGGGAUUUCUGGGCUUCACAACUCUAAGAAAAUAAAAUUGUGUUAUUUUAGCCACAAAGUUUGGGGCAAUUUGUUAUAACAUCUGUGGGAAACUA